GAGUUGUUAGAAUCAAAUUUAAAUUCAAAUUGUUGUCAACAAUUAAAUCCAUAGUGGACAACUCU
rnacentral:tRNA from 1 species